GGGUAGCCGUGAUAUUGGCCUGGUUCACUCAGACAAACCGGUUUAUUUGCUCUUAUUAGAGCAAAGUUCCAGGUUUUUUGUUUUGGUUUGAUUGAGCCGUGCCAAUAUCUCGUUUCUCUUU
rfam:Citrus sinensis cultivar Ridge Pineapple sweet orange scaffold00017_contig_163, whole genome shotgun sequence.